rnacentral:rRNA from 1 species
GUUGUAUAGUCAAGUAAUUAAGUGCAUGUGGUGGAUGCCUUGGCAGUCAGAGGCGAUGAAAGACGUGAUAGCCUGCGAAAAGCUCCGGGGAGGCGGCAAAUAUCCUUUGAUCCGGAGAUGUCUGAAUGGGGGAACCCACCUACUUUAAGGUAGGUAUUGCNNNNNNNNNNNNNNNNNNNNNNNNNNNNNNNNNNNNAACAUGAAUACAUAGUGUUGCAAGGCGAACGAGGGGAAGUGAAACAUCUCAGUACCCUUAGGAAAAGAAAUCAAUUGAGAUUCCCUCAGUAGCGGCGAGCGAACGGGGAUCAGCCCAUUAAGUUAUGUGUGUUUUAGUGGAACGCUCUGGGAAGUGCGAACGUAGAGGGUGAUAUUCCCGUACACGAAAGGGCACACAUAAUGAUGACGAGUAGGGCGAGGCACGUGAAACCUUGUCUGAAUAUGGGGGGACCAUCCUCCAAGGCUAAAUACUCCUGACUGACCGAUAGUGAACCAGUACCGUGAGGGAAAGGCGAAAAGAACCCCUGUGAGGGGAGUGAAAUAGAUCCUGAAACCGCAUGCAUACAAGCAGUGGGAGCACCUUCGUGGUGUGACUGCGUACCUUUUGUAUAAUGGGUCAGCGACUUAUAUUCAGUAGCGAGGUUAACCGUAUAGGGGAGCCGUAGAGAAAUCGAGUCUUAAUAGGGCGUUUAGUUGCUGGGUAUAGACCCGAAACCAGGCGAUCUAUCCAUGAGCAGGUUGAAGGUUGGGUAACACUAACUGGAGGACCGAACCCACUGUCGUUGAAAAGCCAGGGGAUGACUUGU